rfam:Ixodes scapularis strain Wikel colony gcontig_1108379761634, whole genome shotgun sequence.
UUCUGGUUACCUCAGUUGGUAGAGCGCUCCACUGGAAAUGGAGAGGUCGCUGGUUCGAUACCACGACCAGGUG